CCCUGAAUUUGCCGAAUGAGUGAAGGUCUAGUGCACAGAUGAUCAAGUUGUGACUAGAUCCACACUCAUUAAGCACGUUUGGGC
rfam:Habropoda laboriosa contig7670, whole genome shotgun sequence.